rnacentral:tRNA from 1 species
GCGGGAGUAACUCAGUGGCAGAGUGAUUGCUUCCCAAGCAAUAUGUCGGGGGUUCGAAUCCCCUCUCCCGCUCCA